CACUUCUCUGACUGGAUGCACUGUGCGGAGGACACAGCUAAGGGCUGUGAAAAUUCAAGAAUAAAGAAAAGUCCUGCCUUCACGCAGCUCGCACUGUGAGGAGGUUUAAUCAGGGAUGUCUGGCCGGGACCUUCAACAGUAUCAGAGUCAGGCUAAGUAACUCUUUCGAAAGUUGAAUGAACAGUCCCCUACCAGAUGUACCUUGGAAGCAGGAGCCAUGACUUUUCACUACAUUAUUGAGCAGGGGGUGUGUGAUUUGGUUUUAUGUGAAGCUGCCUUCCCUAAGACGUUGGCUUUUGCCUACCUAGAAGAUUUGCACUCAGAAUUUGAUGAACAGCAUGGAAAGAAGGUGCCCACUGUGUCCCGACCCUAUUCCUUUAUUGAAUUUGAUACUUUCAUUCAGAAAACCAAGAAGCUCUACAUUGACAGUUGUGCUCGAAGAAACCUAGGCUCCAUCAACACUGAAUUGCAAGAUGUGCAGAGGAUCAUGGUGGCCAAUAUCGAAGAAGUGUUACAACGAGGAGAAGCACUCUCAGCAUUGGAUUCAAAGGCUAACAAUUUGUCCAGUCUGUCCAAGAAAUACCGCCAGGAUGCGAAGUACUUGAACAUGCAUUCCACUUAUGCCAAACUUGCAGCAGUAGCUGUAUUUUUCAUCAUGUUAAUAGUGUAUGUCCGAUUCUGGUGGCUGUGAAAUAAUGAAUACAGUCACUGGUAAGGGAGAACCUAGAACCCAGUAGGUGUAUAUUUUCAGGAAACUGAGCUCACAGAGAUGUGUAUUAGAAUCCAAGUGGAACUUCUGCCUCUAAAGACCUUGCAAGAAAAGAGAUGUCCUGAAAAUGAAAGGUUGCACCUCAUUUAAUGAAGCUUAACCCUAUGUAGAAAGUCUCUUUCGGGGGCAGAGGCUUUCUCUGGGUGCCAAGCCAUAUAUAUUAGGGAAUAGUAGAUUGUUAUUUCGUUUUUUCCCUCCCAGUGCAUUUUAAAAACAGCACUGGCUGGGCAUUCUCAUUCUCUGAUGGAGCCAUCAAUGAGAUUUAACUUAGUCAACCUGUGCUAGCAACAUUCUGAAAUUCCUUCAAAGAAGGCAGUCCUUUGGGAAGGUGUUUUUUUUUUUUUGUUUUUUUGUUUUUUUGUUUUUUUUUGACUCUAAUCAACAUUCCUUUUGUUGGUGACAUUUGUGAUUUUCAGUAAUCUGAGUUUUUGAUGGCCUUUUAAACAAGACUCCAGUAUGUGAAGGUUAAUUGCUGUGCUCCACAGAUCUUGUCUAUUGGCCCCUGUAGAAAGUUAACCUUUGUUGUUUUCCUUUUAUAAUUUGCUUAUUGCACAAUUGCUUUAGGGUAAGUGAAUUAUAUUAAGAUGCCUUGAAAUUAUAGCACUCCUUGAUUAAGAAGCUAAAAUGUUUCUCUCAUUUACUCCUUAAACAAAAGACUUAAAUUAGUUUGGGUCAUUAUUACUUUUAUUUUGCAGCAUUUGGUUUGUUAUUAGUGUAAGAGCAAGUAUAGGAUAUGGAGAGGCCCCUGGCUUCAUGAGAACAAAGGCAGGCCCAGGUUAUAAUUACAGCUUUCUCCUGCCCCUUCUUUACUUUCUCUACCACAGUUUUCUCCGCUGUUUGUUUUCCUCUUGCCACAAUUUGCUAACACUUAAAAAAUUUUCCUGCACCCAGUAGUUUCAUAUCCUGUAGACAUCCUCUUAGGACAUUCUCAAAUUUCAAAAUAAAAAAUAUUCAUCUAUGUAGUUAAUUAAAGUUAAAGUUUCUGCAGAUCAACUACUCAAACUACUAAAUACAUUUACCUGAGAAAAAGUCUCUGAGAGCACUUCAUUCCUGUUUUAGUUCGUGUAAAUUCUCUGAGAAUGUUCUGGAGAUAGAUAACUCAUUUACAGUGGUUUCUAUUAACUAAUUAAAGUACCCAUGAUUUUUUCCUUUUCUGCUCAGGGAUGAUGGAGAUUUCCUUUUACCUUUUUUAAUGGGGUAAAUUUUUUAAUGGGGAAAAUAGGCCUUUUAAAUAUUAUUGCCAGGGUCUGCAAUAUAACUUAAAAUUCCUGUACAUACUGCAAAUAUUUCUUUAAAUUGCACAGGAAAAUGAGCGAACUUUUUAUUUCUUAAUAUCUUUGGCAAAAAACUUUAACCAGUAAGCAAUUUUAUAACCCUGAGGGAUCAUCAAAGAUACUAUCCUGAUUCCUGGUAAGGAAAAAUAUAUUAUUUCCUUAUAACAAGGCAAGGAGAAAUGCUAUUUUAUUCCUGAUAAUUUAUAUAGCUAGAAUAAUUUUUUUCCUUUCUUUUAUGGACCUAAAUCUGCCAAUUGGGAAUUUUGUGCAUGAAAUAUGAAGUUACUUUUUAUAGAUAAUCAGUGCUUUUAAGUCCCUAAAAGGCUCCUGCUGAAGUAAUGAUGAAGUUCAUAAUAAAAGCCUUUGAAAGGCUGAAAACCUACAUAGUGGUACCAUAGUAUUUGGAGCUUCUAUAGGAGUGGAGAGGGGCAGCUCAUUGUUGAGAGUUGCAUGCUGCAACCUAAUGGUCAGCAAUGAAAGAAAUACUUGUAGAAUGUUCACUUCAGUGUGAAGUUUUGUUAUCUAGUUAAUUUAUAUACAUAUAUCCUUUGUAGAUACAUUUCUAUCUAAUCUUGUUGAGCUAAUUAAGAAAUAAGGGGUGGGGUAAUUGUCAACAAAGGGAGAAGAAAGUGGUUUAAGAUCAGGGCAGCAGAAAAAUUAGAGAACAAGAAUAUCAUAAUAUGGCUCCUGGUUUUCUUUAUAAGAGGCAGUGGGAAGAUCUGACUAGAUGAAAUGUAUCAUCAACCAAACUGGCAUCUAAAAUAGAAUGGGAUAAAUACUGUAUGGGGUUAUUGGAGGCAUAUUAAGAAAGGACACCUAAUUUAUUUUGGGAAGAAGUAUGUUAAGAGAAGACUUUCUAGAGAAGGAGAAUGGGGCAUUCUAGGAAGAGUCAAUGGCAUGUGCAAAGGCAUGAAUAAAGACAGUGAGGCAUGUUUUGGAAAUGUAACAGCUUGAUUCAGCUUAGCCCAUAGGGUAAGCAUAGACAACAGAGGAGACUUGAGGAAUGAGAACUAGAUGGGUACACUAUCAUAAAGGGACUUGUCUAUCAUGCUGAGGAGUUUAGACCAUCUUAAUGGUAGUGGCCAAGGAUGGCAUCAGAUUUAUAGUUUCAAGUGAUCAUAAUAUUGGCAUAAAAGAUAUAUUAGGGAGGAAGCCUGAAGUAGGGAGAUGAAAAUAAGGAGCCAUCAAAGGCAGAAUGAAACUUAGGCAGAUUUCAAGUGAUUUUCAAAAAUGAUGUGAUCAGAGGUACCAGAUAAUAACUAUUACAUAACACUUUCUUUGUUAGGAGCUUAUUUCUCACACUGACCAAAGCUUUUGAAGUAAGUACUCUUUACACCACUAUAUAAAUAAACCUUACAAAGGAUUCUGCUUUGAGGCAUGAGAGAGUUAAGUCAUUUGCCCAAAGUCACAGAGUUAGAAAGUAAUAGAGCUAAGAUUUGAACCUAGGCAGUUUGGCUCCAGAGUCUGUGCUCUUACACUAUAUUACCACCAAGAGGUCAAAUAAAUACCAAAGAAUGUAUUUUCGAAUUUAACAAUGAGGAACUUAAUCAUACAGGCAGAAGUAAUUCCAGAGCACCGGAGACAGAAGCCAGAUUGCCAUAUGGGUUAAAGAGUGUGUAAACCACUAGGAAGUAAAGACAUAGAACUACUCUCACAAGUGCUUUUCUGGUUAUUGUGACGCUGAACUUCAUGGCUUGUUUUAAUUAAGACAUCUUACAAGUGUCAAAAUUUGGAAAUAUUUGGACACUGUACACUCUGGUUAUUUAAAUAUCUAACAGUGGUUCUUGAGCAUUUUGAGAAACCUUUGAAAAUCUGAUGAAAGGUAUGUGCCAUUACUCUAGAAAAAUGUUCCUGUGUACAUGCACAUCAAGUAUCACAUACUGUUUCAGGCUGUUCAAAGACUACAAAGUCUGUUCAUGACCUAAUGGUCCAUGUUCCCUCAGUUAAGAGCUCCAGAGAUAAAGGAUGUGGAACUCAAAGGUAAGUACCCAGAGCCUUGAAAACUCCAUUUGUGACUUGGAAGAAUUCUACAAUUUGAAUUAACUUUGUGGAGAGAGAUAUAUUUUUGAAAAAUUGUGUGUACCAAAAAAAUUUCAUAUCAAAUAAUAUUUUCCUGUAGUGCAUUCAAGGAUCUGGUUCCACAGCAAAAAAUUGUUUUGGUCUCAGUUCCUCAAAAUCACAUUUAAGGAGCUUGAGAUUUAUAUUUUCUACUUAAUAAGUCUUACAAAAGCAAGUUAAGAAGGAAAAUGGACAAUCAUUUCUGCACAUGUAGGGUUUAAUAAAACAUGUAUAAUGAAAUAUUUCAUAUUUUAAAUUUCCACCUUAUUGGUAGCUUUCAUGACAAAGGGCUAGGGUGCUGGUGGCCAUACAAUUAAGGUUUUUGGUUAGUUAGUUAGCAGAACUAACUGACUCCUACCUGGUGGGUUUUUCUUUUGUUUGUUUGUUUGGUUGGUUGGUUUUUUCCCAGAUGGCUCAGGAGGAAGGUAAAUAGCAGUCAUUGUAUGUGUGACAGAGUUUGAGAUAGAAUGAGCAUAUUGAAUCCCACAUCCUGUUCUUAUUACUGUCAGGCAGCGUUGACCUAGCAGUAUAAAACUAUCUGAAGCAAUGUAGUCACUCAGUUCUCAUAAAGUUUAUUUCAAGUACUGUAACAAUUCAUGUUUGGAUUAGAAAAGUCACUAGAAAUUUGACUUCCAUAUAGUAAUCUAUACUUUUUUCUCUCAUUUCCUUCAUUUUUUGAGCCGUAAGUGUAAGGCAUUUUGGUGGUAUUAUUACAAUGGUUAUGAGGAGUUUCUUUGCUUGCCCAAGGUCACAUAGCUAGCAAGUUAAAGUAGAUUCAAAUCCAGGCCUGCUAGAUACCAAAUUAUUAUUUAAGAGUACUUUUCACUACUCCUAAAUAAUGACACAGAUAUGUUUGUCUUACACAUUUCACUUUAUUGUCAAGUUAUUAGUAUGUUUAUUUUCAAAAGGUAUUUUUUGCAAUUUCUUUUUAUUAUUCCGUACUUUUUAAAUUUACUUCAUUAUCACGUCUUCCUUUAUUCUUUUUAAAUAGUUUUUGCUUUUGUUAUUUUGUUUUCCCUUUUUUACUCUUGGUUUGUAAUACAUCUUUCCUUAUUUGCUCCUUUCUCAUUUGAUCUCAAUGUUAAUCCAACUGUUUUCCACAUCUGAUUCACUAAAAUUUUAGCCCUUUAAAAAAAAAUUCCUGUUUUUCCUAUCUCCUUUUGCCCAUUCUCUUCUCCUUGCCUCUCUUCUUUUAUCUUUUUCCAUUUUACUUUCAUUUUUUGUUUCUCUAGAUGUUGUUUUGACAUAUGAGUUAAUGUACUGGUACAAUUUUGCAUCUGUAAAUUAGAGCUUCAGAAUCAACUGAGUGUAUUUAUUCUUUAUUUUUAGGCCUCAAUUUAUCUUACCUUUUAUUGAUUUUAUAAUAUACUAUACUCUUUCAUUUUAGUCUGCAUAUGUUAGCCAAAGAAGAUAUGCCCCUGUUUUAAGAAAUCUCUGUAAAAAAUGUCAAGUGUGACAAGAAUUCUUCAAGAAACAAGCUCCUCUAGUUUGUCUUCUAUAUUUAGAGCUUCAACAGUUACCUAUAUUACUGGUAACUCCCAAAUAUACCUUCAAACUUGUUUUUUGGGCCCAAGUUUUUUGCUUCAUAGAUAUCUGUUUUGAAUAUCCCAUAAAUAAUUGCAUCUAAAGCAUACCUCCACUCCAUUGUUCUCACAGAUAAAACCAAACCUGUGCUUCUUCUUAUAUUUCUAGUAUUUAAGCGUCACCUGCCACCCCUUUACCUGAGCUACAAGUCACGCAUUGCAUUAGACUCCUCUGCUUUCUUCUUUCACCUCUAACUAGACUAUUAACCAAAAAUUUUUAAAUAUAACUUUCAAAAGGUGGGGUUUUAUUACAUCAUUUCCAUCCUUUAUGUUUGGGUUCGAGCCCUCAUUAACUUUAACAUGGAUUCUUGGAGUACCCUCCUUACUGAUUUUGUUACACGUGUCCCUCUUUUAGUCAGUACUACCAUGAUAAUACCAUGGAUAAUAAUUUUUUCAUUUUUAUUUUUAGUCUUGCUCUGUCGCCCAGGCUAGAGUGCAGUGGCGCGAUCUCAGCUCACUGCAACCUCCACCUCCCGGGUUCAAGUGAUUCUCCUGCCUCAGCCUACUGAGUAGCUGGGAUUACAGGCACCUGCCACAGCUCCUGGCUAAUUUUUGUGUUUUUAGUAGAGAUGGAGUUUCACCGUCUUGAACUCCUGACCUCAUGAUCCACCCUCCUCGGCCUCCCAAAGUGCUGGGAUUACAGGCAUGGGCCACUGCGCCCGGCCAAUAAUUUUUCUUUUUUUUGUGCUAAUCAUACUACAUUUUCUUUAGAAUAAAAGAUCACAUACUUCAGUUUGCCAUUCGCAGUCUGGCCCCAUUGUGCCAUUCUAGACUUACCUCCUGCCACUCCCCACCAGCUUUGUUUUGUCUUAGCCACACAAAAUAAUCUAGCGUCUCUAACCAGUCAAACAUUUUACCUUGUGCCUUGGCUCACUCUGUGCCUUUUCUCCAGAAUAUCUUUCUGUGUACUUUUCUCCCAUCCUUUUGCCUUUAAACCUGCUGCUAUGGUUUGGAUGUUGUUUGGCCCCUCCAAAACUCACGUUGUAGUUCAAUUGCCAAUGUAAUAGUGUUGGAAGAUGCUACUUUUAAGAGGUAAUUAGGUUGCUAAGAUGGAUUAACAUCUUUCUCUUGACACUGAGACUGGGUUCUCCUGGGAAUGGUUAGUUCCCAAGAGAGUGAGUUGUUAUAAAACAAUGCUGCCUCUUCUAUUUUGCACUUUUUGUUUGCACAAACUCGGUCCCCUUCUGUUUCUCUAUGAUGUUUUGAUGCAGCAUGAGGCAGUCAUGAGAACCCACCAGAUACAGCUGCCUGAUCCUGAAUUUCCCAGCCAACAGAACCAAGUGCUAAAUAAAACUCUUUUUAAUAAGUUA